AAUGCAAGAUAUUUUUUUUUUUAGUUUUCUGUAAAACAAAUCCAACAACAAUAGAAGACCCUGACAUUAAAAAAAAUUAUUAGUUUAUUUCACCAUAAGUAAAGAAUUGGUCAUAUUAAAGUAAUGUUAUAAGAUAUAGUUCGAAAAUUCGAUAUAUUGUAUUAACAAUGAAGACAUUAUUGUUAUAAGUCCGAUUAUAGAAUAGAAAGAAUUACACAACUACAUAAAUUUGUAUUCGAAAAGUUGAAUGAGUUAAAGGAUGACGUGAACUCUGAAUAGCUACUUCCUGAAACCUGGAUAUUUAAUGGCGGAUAACGUAGUGGAACAUAAUUAGCGAUCUGUAAGAUUCCGUGCAGAUGUAACUAGGUCAUUUUAAUAUCAUCUGCUUUAUUUUGAAAUAAAAUGUUCAAGCUUUAGUUCAAAAAUAAAUUUAUUAAACGUGUUAAUUUAAUAUUGCAGCUAAAAUGUUGCGGAGUUAAAGGCCAAGAGGAUUAUAAAGGUGAAAUACCAGAAAGUUGCAAAGACAACGGAAUUAUUUAUAAAGAGGGAUGUCUGAAGAGAAUGGAGAUUUUAUUGAA